UCAAUGCAGCUCAAUGGUGAGAGCAUCCGACCGGCGUUACAGAUAUCGUAGGUUCGAUUCCUACCUGUAAAUAUGAA
rnacentral:tRNA from 1 species